rnacentral:lncRNA from 1 species
AUUAGAAAUAGUGUCACAGAACUCCAGAUAUAUCUGACUGUAUUUGCUCAUGUAAUCUGUUUUGCUGUGGAAACAAUAAAAGUAUAGAAUCUUCAAUAGGCUACUGACUGAUCUCUUCAAAUAAACCAACUCAGGGGGACACAGGUGAAGUUCAUGUCCCAACAAAUUGGGGGCUUGUCCGGGAUUUGAGGAGAUCUGUGAUUGGACAUCAAAAGACAGAUCAGAUGCACUCCACUGAAAAUUCUGGCCGGCCAUAGAAAGGCUCCAGCGCUGAGUCGGAUAAACGUAGCAGUGCAUACCUGCGUGAUAAAGAAAAUCCUGGAGGGCCGCAAAGAGGCCGCCUGUCUUUAAAGAGACGCAGAGAGUGGCCUAUUUUAACCGAAAUAAACAGUCCGGGUG